rnacentral:rRNA from 1 species
UGCCAGCCGCCGCGGUAAUACGGAGGGUCCAAGCGUUGUUCGGAUUUAUUGGGCGUAAAGCGAGUGUAGGCGGUUUAGCAAGUCGGAUGUGAAAUCCCAGGGCCCAACCCUGGAACUGCAUCCGAUACUGUUAGGCUAGAAUUCCGGAGAGGGUGGCGGAAUUCCCGGUGUAGGGGUGAAAUCCGUAGAUAUCGGGAGGAACACCAGUGGCGAAGGCGGCCACCUGGACGGUAAUUGACGCUGAGACUCGAAAGCGUGGGUAGCAAACAGGAUUAGAUA